rnacentral:rRNA from 1 species
UACGAAGGGGGCUAGCGUUGCUCGGAAUUACUGGGCGUAAAGCGCACGUAGGCGGCUUUCUAAGUCGGGGGUGAAAUCCUGGAGCUCAACUCCAGAACUGCCUUCGAUACUGGAAAUCUCGAGUCCGGGAGAGGUGAGUGGAACUGCGAGUGUAGAGGUGAAAUUCGUAGAUAUUCGCAAGAACACCAGUGGCGAAGGCGGCUCACUGGCCCGAUACUGACGCUGAGGCACGAAAGCGUGGGGAGCAAACAGG